UAUCCUUAAGACCCCUUGCUCGUCUUUUCCUUGGUUGCAAGAUUGGAAAUGGACUCUCUGCAAGUUACUGGUGUGACGAUUGGCUUCCGCUUGGUCCGCUGAUACACUUCAUAGGCGAUGAUGGACCCUGUAAAAUGGGUAUUCCUAUAAGAGCUACAGUCGCUGAAGGAUGCAGAAAUGGUCUUUGGAGGCUCCCUUCAAGUCGAUGUAGAAAUGUGCCAAUAUGCACUCUCCGACAGUCUCUCCUAACGGUACAGCCACCUUCAGACCCCCAGCAGUUAGACUCUUAUACUUGGGGCUUUGAGGGACAGAGGUCUGAUACCUUUUCUAUAAAGAUAACUUGGGAGAGGCUUAGGGAUUCAGCACCGAAAGUGACUUGGGAAAAAGCGGUUUGGUUCAAGUAUCAUGUACCCAGACACGCUUUUCAUUUUUGGACAACCAACUUGGAUCGUCUUCCAACCCGAACACGUCUGGUCAGUUGGGGUCUUGGAAAUGUGACAGAUUGUUGUCUCUGUGGACAACAACAAGAAACCCGCGAUCACCUUUUCUUGCAUUGCAGCAUUGCAGGCCAGCUUUGGAGUAUGGUCUUACCCCGUCUCGGUACACCUACGGUGACUUUCCCGGAGUGGUCUGACUUGAUCCAGUGGCUGCUCUCACCUACAUCAGGUCUCUCUUCCACUCUUAAGAAGCUUACUGUGCAAAAUGCCAUCUCCACGCUCUGGACUGAGAGGAACAAUAGGCUUCAUAAUGCCUGCAAUGAUGAUCCUGUUACUCUAUUCAAAAGACUGGACAGGACCUUACGGGAUACUUUAUUGGCGCGUCUACCCCAUCGACGGUGUCGACGUCUUCUUGCUCAAUGGUUUAGGUUCUCCUAGCAUCUGCAAGCUCGGUUACCAACAAAUUCAUAGUUCCAACCUGGUUUUUUAUUUUUUUUGAGCCAUUUGUAACUGUCUGCUUCUAAAGCUCAUGUAAUAACCUCAUGUUCCUUUUUGGUAUAAUAUUAACAUUUUAUCAAAAAAAAAAAUGGUAGGAGACACAUUUAUUUGUGUGCAUACAUGACUUUUAUCGUAUCUUCCUUCAAAUUAUAGUAUGCAACAAUGCUGACAAUAAUUUUAUUAUUGAACACGAUCCUUAAAAAACGUUCCAACUAAAAACUCUAACAAUGUGAUAUUCCUCAUUUAUUUGUAAUAUCCCAUAAAUUACUACAAUGAAAGUAAUAUGAAAUUGGUGAUUCGUUGGGAUGUAACUAUAGAAAAUUUACUGUAGAAGUAGUAUCUAUGAUUUUUUUAUUGAGCUGGAAGGGAUUUAGUUUUAAAAUUUAUUGCUAUAGCAGUAAAUUCCCUACAAUUAAAAAAUUGAGAUUUAGAAACUAAAACUUUUACAUCCAUUUUAUUAUUUUUUGGUUGUAUGAUUAAAAACCAAUAUAACGAAUGAUUGAUUACUUUAAAGACUGUAUGUAAAAUUUAAAGUUAAAGUCAGCUCACACGGCCCAACCAGUCACCCCCAAUAUACUAACAAACAAUGAUUUUAAUUACAAUUCUGUUCAAACGGAAAUACACAUAGAUCAGAUCUAGCGCGUAGCGCGCGCCAGCCCUAGUUAAAUAUAAAUCCUAGCAAUUCAUUCUAGCAAUUCAUUUUAGCAAUUCAUCAAAUCCUAGAAAUCCCUAAAUCUAACAAGUGGUCUAUUCAGACAUAAUCAAAGAAUACAAGAUCAAUGAUGAAGUCUGCAUAAUUAUGUUAAAGUAAUAAAAACAGGAGUUCCAAAUCAAUCUCAGGAAAAUUUCUGAUGUAUCACUUCAAAUCUCAAAAAUAACUUAGCCUUAAAAAUGGCUUAAUCAUACAUAAUAAAUGGUAAAAAACUUUUCUGAGACUGCUUUGUAAAUGCUGAAGACUUUUGGGCCAAAAUUACAAUUCUUGAAACUUGCUUUAAAACUCGUCGGUUUGGUGAGAUGACUAGGGUAUCGACCGACACCAAAAUGAGUGUCGAUCAACACCAACUUGAUAUUUUCGGUUCUAAGUAUUUUCAAGCUCCAAAUUUCUCCAGAUCUCCAAAAUAGUCCAAAACGUACCUAGACUUGUAUUGUAAAGACUCUGAAAUAGACUCUAAACAUAUAAUAAAAACUCUAAAAUCAGAAUUAUAUCAUGGACAAAACUCAUAAAAUCCAUGAUAUAUCAAAUCUCUCUGACUUAUCAUUUGCUAGCACUCAAGCAAACAUAGUCCAAAUAUGUGAAAGAGGUUUGAAAAUGCAAGAAUUCACUUUAUAACCGUCAUCUCUACGAUCUUGCAAGCAACAUCAAAUAAUUAUUUGGAAUGACUCUAAUUGAUCUGAGAAUUACUAGAAUCUAUACUAUUAAAAGAGAAGGAGUCUAAAAAAAUCUACCUAUGAAAAGUUGUUGGACCCUUUAAUUAAACUUAACUAUUUUAUUGGUCUUACCUUAUAUUUCUCUAACUAUACAAUAAUCAAUUAUUUCACACUUAUUUAACUAUAAAACAAUCAAUGUUCUUAUUUAUUACUCAACUUAACUAAAAUAUCAUUCUCAUGAAUCUAUAACCAAAACGUAACUGAUGAAUUUGAAUUCGAAAACUAUAUUGUUCUUUGGUGCCACCAACUUUGCAACAUUUCAUUCAAUCAUUUUUUUAUCAAAGGCUUCACUCUAUCAUUUUUUUCGUUGAUUGAAAUGUGUUUCUGAAUAGGAUGACCUUUCUGAAAUAUUUAUCUACAAACCUUAUACAUCAUAACUUUUCCUUGACUAACACUUCUAAUAUAUUUAUCUGCAAAGCUUACACAUCAUAUUCUAAAUAUAUUGUGAGAACAUUUUUGUUAAAAAAAUAUUAUAGAUGCGAUUUUGAAAAUUUAUAUUAUGAAAAGAAAAUCAUUUUAAAAAUCUAUUAUAAGAAGGUUGUUGCAACUAUAUAUAACUCUUUAUAUUUGUAUCCUACCAUUAACUACUAUAACUAUAAAUAUUUUAAAUAAAUCUUAUUAUUAUUUCUCAUUCUUUUCCAAUAAUUUUUCUCCUUAUAUAAAUAUAUUAUGCUCCAAUAUGGAUAUAUAAUAUUUAGAUAUCAAUUAUUAAAACGAAAGCAUAUAUCAUACAACAUAUUAUAAAAUGUCAUCUAAUAUUAUAUAGUUCUAAAUAUUUACAAAAUCAAAUUUGAUAAAAACACUUCACCAAAUCAUUUUUUAAAAUAAAAUUGUUUAUAUUUACGUUCAAUUAUUUUUUAUAAAAUAUAUCUAUAAUAAAAAAUUUUAUUCAAUAUAAGUUAAAAAAAAAUUAAAACUCCUGAAAAUAUAUACUAUUAAAUUAGCUUAAAAUCUACCAAAUAAGUCUUAAGUCUCACUAAUUGAACAAAAUAAAUAAGUAGAAUAGGAAUUGGCAUUCGGGUCUUCGGAUCGGAUAAGAGUCGGGUUUUUUUCUGGUCGGGUCCGUUAAAUCCUAAAUAUUAUAACUCAACUAAAUAUCUGAAACUUUUCUAUCUGAGUUUGGGUCAAUUCCUUCCAAGGUUGGGUUGGUUUGGGUCCAUAAUUCAAAUACUUACAAAAAUACAUGUAAAUUUUGGGUACAUAGCAGGUCCGGGUCGAUUCUGGUUUAGAACCCAAAAGACUCGAAGUACUCAAAAUCCCAGAAAAAUCCAAAACCCGAAAUAUAUAAAAAAUACCCGAUAAUAUUCAAAUAGCCGAAAAGACCAGAAAUUUUACCCGAAAAAUCGAAAAUACCCAAAGUUUAAUCUAUAUACCCAAAAUAAUAUAUUUUAAGAAAUUUGAAAAAUUAACCUAAAAGCCGAAAUUAUAACCGAAAACCAGAACAUGAAACUUAAGAGGAUAUAGUAAUAUCGAAAACAUAUUUGAAAUAUCUAAAAAUGCCUAAUAUGCACAUAAUAUUUCGGGUACUUAGAGUAUCCGAUAUGGUCUCCAGUAGGAUGUGGACUUGAACCAAGAACGUGGGUCCAAUAAAUACCGAACAUGUAUUUAUCUAUGGAUCCAAAUCAAACCUGUGUUUUCUGGUCGGUUUUUGGAUCCAGAUAAAUGUCCAAAUUUAAGAGAGAGUUAUGUAAAAACGUACAUAUAAAAUCUUAAAUAAUCUAAUUCAUAAAUUACAUAAUUUAAAACAAAUUCUCUACUUUGUUAUAAUACAAAUUACUAACAAUUCUUUCAAAAUAUUAAUUCAUAUCAAACUUUGUUUAUAAUCUACAGAAAACCCGCGCGCGAGUCAAAAUCUAGUGACUUAUAUUAAAUUUUAAUUACUAGACUAAAAAUGGGAUAGGAGCAAAUUUACUAAAAGCCAAUCUCUAACUUAAUUAACCACAAGUUUCCAUUCUAAUAAAUCAAAAAAAAUUGGAAAAUAUAGGUUAACCAUUUUAAAAAAGGAAUUGACGACAAAAAACAAUCAGAAAAGAAGAAAAGAGUUUGUGGUGUCUCUGCAACUCUCUCACAAGACAUCGACGAAACAGAAGGUGGAGCCUUCUCCGUUUAAGAGUUGUCGUCGCUCCUAUCCCACUCCGACAACAUCUCCUCCGUCACAGCCGCCGUAGAUUUCGACACCUCCUCGUCAAGUCGCCAUCGCCCCUGUUGUGUGAACCCUAGGUCUGAUUUGUCUUCCGUUUUAGAUCAACGAAAUUGAACUGAUAACGUUUACACCGACGAUCCAGCACUGUAGAAUGGCAUCUAUAAUUGGUCUGUGUUUGAGAGCUAAGCUUAAAGAAUGCUUGCCCCUCCAUUAUCAAGUCAACUAUGCUCUUAAGUAAAAAGAGAGAUUUUUUCAAUGGUCAUUUGCUAUAUAUGUAUGAUUGUUACUGUUUCCUUUUACUCAUGUUCAAGUUGAUAUCAGAGUGUAUCCCGGUUCUCAUGCCGAUGAACAGCUGAAUGAUAAAGAAAGACUUGGUAGCUGCAUUGGAGAAUCCUAAUCUCCGUCAGCUUGUGGAUGAGUUUAUCUAAUCAAGUGAGAUGUUCAGAGCAUUUUACUUUUACUCUCUUGUACAAUUUUCACAUUUGGGAUUGUAUUGUAUGCCUAGGAGACCGCUCUUUGUCUAUUGUUGUAUUGCUAAUAUUACUCUACACGCUUGAACGUUGUAUACUGCUUUGAUUUGAUAAUGUUACAAACCUUUUUCUUCA